rnacentral:rRNA from 1 species
CUACGGGGGGCUCCAGUGGGGAAUAUUGCACAAUGGGCGAAAGCCUGAUGCAGCAACGCCGCGUGAGGGACGACGGCCUUCGGGUUGUAAACCUCUUUUAGCAGGGAAGAAGCGAGAGUGACGGUACCUGCAGAAAAAGCACCGGCUAACUACGUGCCAGCAGCCGCGGUAAUACGUAGGGUGCAAGCGUUGUCCGGAAUUAUUGGGCGUAAAGAGCUCGUAGGCGGUUUGUCGCGUCUGCUGUGAAAAUCCGAGGCUCAACCUCGGACCUGCAGUGGGUACGGGCAAACUAGAGUGCGGUAGGGGAGAUUGGAAUUCCUGGUGUAGCGGUGGAAUGCGCAGAUAUCAGGAGGAACACCAAUGGCGAAGGCAGAUCUCUGGGCCGUAACUGACGCUGAGGAGCGAAAGCGUGGGGAGCGAACAGGAUUAGAUACCCCGGUAGUC